AUUGAACGCUGGCGGCAGGCCUAACACAUGCAAGUCGGGCGAGCGGCGGACGGGUGAGUAAUGUAUGGGGAUCUGCCUGAUGGAGGGGGAUAACUACUGGAAACGGUAGCUAAUACCGCGUACCAUAGGAUGAGCCCAAGUGGGAUUAGGUAGUUGGUGAGGGAAAGGCUCACCAAGGCGACGAUCAGUAGCUGGUCUGAGAGGAUGACCAGCCACACUGGGGCUGAGACACGGCCCAGAUGCCUACGGGAGGCAGCAGUGGGGAAUCUUGCGCAAUGGGCGAAAGCCUGACGCAGCCAUGCCGCGUGAAUGAAGAAGGCCUUAGGGUUGUAAAGUACUUUCAGCGGGGAGGCGUUACCCGCAGAAGAAGCACCGGCUAACUCCGUGCCAGCAGCCGCGGUAAUAC
rnacentral:rRNA from 1 species